UUCUUGAUAUCCGUACAUCAUGUGGGCUACUGUCUGUGAGUUCUUCCUCCAGGUUAUCUUCCUGAUUGUCGGUUGUUGCACAUUGUUUUUUGUUUGAAGAUUCUUUCUUGUUUGAAGUUCUGAAAUCUUUACGAUUCUUUCUUUUAUACUUUGAAGCCUUUGAUCUUCUCGAUGGAUAUGGAAUCCACUAGCAUCAUUUUCAACUUUCACAAGCGUUUUCUCGCUUAACGAGACGUUUGAUUUCUUACAUAAACCGUUGAUUCCACGCGUUUUCACUGUGGUGGAUAACUUUUUUGUUUUGAACGUUAACGUGCCCUUCCUGAUUGCUAUUUCUUCUUCAGAUUCGCCAAAAAACAUUUCUUUCCGGCUAGAAGUUCUCGUGCGUUUCAUUGAAGACCCGUUGUCAUCGUCUUUUUGAGAAUUCAUAAGCUUGUGAACCUUUCUCUUUUUUUCAACUGUAACAUAUCUACUCAUAUGAUUUUCCUUUGGAAAUACGACCUC
rnacentral:lncRNA from 1 species